rnacentral:rRNA from 1 species
UACAGAGGUCUCAAGCGUUGUUCGGAUUCAUUGGGCGUAAAGGGUGCGUAGGCGGCGCGGUAAGUCGGAUGUGAAAUCUCGGAGCUUAACUUCGAAACUGCAUUCGAUACUGCCAUGCUUGAGGACUGGAGAGGAGACUGGAAUUUACGGUGUAGCGGUGAAAUGCGUAGAUAUCGUAAGGAAGACCAGUGGCGAAGGCGGGUCUCUGGACAGUUCCUGACGCUGAGGCACGAAGGUCAGGGGAGCAAACGGG